CAGCUGCAGCAGUGGGAUGGCCUUGAACCCUGCCCACCUGAAUUUGGCCCUGUCUGAGGGAGGCCCCUCUUGUCCACCUCUUAACCUGGGGUAGGGAGCUUCUCCCGAGUAGCAGUAAUGGGGCUGAUUCCAGCUUCUCCCCAGCAAUACCUCUAUGUGGCUGACCUGGCACGGAAGGACAAGCGUGUUCUGCGGAAAAAGUACCAGAUUUACUUCUGGAACAUUGCCACCAUUGCUGUCUUCUAUGCCCUUCCUGUGGUGCAGCUGGUGAUCACCUACCAGACGGUGGUGAAUGUCACAGGGAAUCAGGACAUCUGCUACUACAACUUCCUCUGCGCCCACCCACUGGGCAAUCUCAGCGCCUUCAACAACAUCCUCAGCAACCUGGGGUACAUCCUGCUGGGGCUGCUUUUCCUGCUCAUCAUCCUGCAACGGGAGAUCAACCACAACCGGGCCCUGCUGCGCAACGACCUCUA
rnacentral:sRNA from 1 species